GACGAACGCUGGCGGCGUGCUUAACACAUGCAAGUCGAACGGAAAGGCCCUGCUUUUGUGGGGUGCUCGAGUGGCGAACGGGUGAGUAACACGUGAGUAACCUGCCCUUGACUUUGGGAUAACUUCAGGAAACUGGGGCUAAUACCGGAUAGGAGCUCCUGCUGCAUGGUGGGGGUUGGAAAGUUUCGGCGGUUGGGGAUGGACUCGCGGCUUAUCAGCUUGUUGGUGGGGUAGUGGCUUACCAAGGCUUUGACGGGUAGCCGGCCUUGGAGGGUGACCGGCCACAUGGGGACUGAGGUACGGCCCAGUGUCGUACGGGAGGCAGCAGUGGGGAGUAUUGCACAGUGGGCGGAAGCCUGAUGCGGCGACGCCGCGUGCGGGAUGACGGCCUUCGGGUUGUAAACCGCUUUCGCCUGUGACGAAGCGGGAGUGACGGUAAUGAGUAAAGAAGCACCGGCUAACUACGUG
rnacentral:rRNA from 1 species